GGAGGAGAGGAUAUCGAACACUCCAGGAUUUUAUGAGAGUACUAGAUUUCUAUCCCGAAAGAAUUACUGUCAGAGCAGACUCUCUUCCGUACUAGCCUUAGUCUGGUUGACUCUAGAGGUCAGUUUAGUAGCCUUAUGGUGUUCACAUUUUUUUCUCUCUCCUACUUUUUCUUUUAACUUAUUCUGACUUGUUAUAGACAUGAGCCCUGAAGAGCUUGAGGCGUUGAGGUGGAAGAACACAUAGAAGAAAAGAAAAGCGUCCCCAUCAGUUGCUGUCGGAGCCUAGAAGAAGCCAAGGCCCUCAGAAGCCAAUCAGAGAGAGGUACUCCCUCUAGCUUCUUUCACUCAGGUGGGUGCCAUGCUGG
rnacentral:lncRNA from 1 species